UGCCAGAAGUGAGUUACAAUGUCAUAGGUC
rnacentral:piRNA from 1 species